rnacentral:rRNA from 1 species
UCAACUUGGUCGCAUGAUCGAGUUGGGAAAAGCGGAGCAAUCUGCUGCUUACAGAUGGGCCUGCGGCGCAUUAGCUAGUUGGUGGGGUAACGGCUCACCAAGGCGACGAUGCGUAGCCGACCUGAGAGGGUGAACGGCCACACUGGGACUGAGACACGGCCCAGACUCCUACGGGAGGCAGCAGUAGGGAAUCUUCCGCAAUGGACGCAAGUCUGACGGAGCAACGCCGCGUGAGUGAUGAAGGUUUUCGGAUCGUAAAGCUCUGUUGCCAGGGAAGAACGCUUGGGAGAGUAACUGCUCUUAAGGUGACGGUACCUGAGAAGAAAGCCCCGGCUAACUACGUGCCAGCAGCCGCGGUAAUACGUAGGGGGCAAGCGUUGUCCGGAAUUAUUGGGCGUAAAGCGCGCGCAGGCGGCUUUGUAAGUCUGGUGUUUAAACCUAGGGCUCAACCCUGGGUCGCAUUGGAAACUGCAAGGCUUGAGUGCAGAAGAGGAGAGUGGAAUUCCACGUGUAGCGGUGAAAUGCGUAGAGAUGUGGAGGAACACCAGUGGCGAAGGCGACUCUCUGGGCUGUAACUGACGCU